rnacentral:rRNA from 1 species
CCUACGGGAGGCAGCAGUGGGGAAUAUUGCACAAUGGGGGAAACCCUGAUGCAGCGAAACCGCGUGAGCGAAGAAGUAUUUCGGUAUGUAAAACUCUAUCAGCCGGGAAGAAAAUGACGGUACCUGAGUAAGAAGCUCCGGCUAAAUACGGGCCAGCAGCCGCGGUAAUACGUAUGGAGCAAGCGGUAUCCGGAUUUACUGGGCGUAAAGGGGGCGUAGGCGGCCUGCCAAGUCUAAGGGGAAAUACCGGGGCUCAACCCCGGUGGUGCAUUGGAAACUGGCAGUCUGGAGUGGCGGAGAGGCAGGCGGAAUUCCUAGUGUAGCGGUGAAAUGCGUAGAUAUUAGGAGGAACACCAGUGGCGAAGGCGGCCUGCUGGACGGUGACUGACGCUGAGGCUCGAAAGCGUGGGUAGCAAACAGGAUUAGAUACCCGUGUAGUC